AAAUGCCUGUAACUCCAGCUCCAGGGUAUCCAACACCCUUUCCCGGCCUCUCUAGGUACUUGCACACACAUGGCAGUUACACAGAUACACACACAUGCAAAUAAGGAUAAUCUUUAAAAAUAGGAAAGGGAUCUGGGGAGUUCUUGUGGGGGACUUAGGCAGUCUCAGAAGAGACUGUACCUAAGUCUGUCCCCACCCUUGCUGACAACUGGCCCGUGGCAGCACGUGCUGGCCUUGUGCAAGGCAGCCAUUCAUCUUGAGAACUGGUGGUCUGGAAAGUGGAGUGCAGCCCCCUGGGGAACUCUGGGACUUGCCUCACACUCUCUUCUCUCCUCCCUCUCCAUCCUACUUCCUCUGCAUGCCGGCUGACUGUGGUACCGGGGUGUACCGGGGUGUACCGGGACAGAGAACUUCAUCACCGCGAUCCCCCUGUGCCUCCUGUCCUCCUGUCCUCUGCUGGCCUGGCGCCUAGGGCAGCACAGGGACUUCUGCCACCUGAGGAUGGGACCUGGGUCCAUGACAUGGGAAAGCAGAGGACCUCUGCUGUGCUGGCAGCUCUCCAGUCACCUGCAGUCACCUGCAGUCACCUGCAGGUCUCAGCAGCUCCUUCUGAGGAAAGGCUUUCCCCACAAGCCACAGAAGGAACUGAGCCAAGUGACACCAGGAUGCAAUACCCACAUUGACAGUCACCUCACUGUCCAGGAAGGCGGUGAGAGCUGUGCUCAGGACCUCCCUGGGCUGCUCCCUGUGGCAGAUGACACCUAAGUCACCAUCACUCACUUCUUCCCUCUUCAGCCUAGGCCAGGCUGGUGAGUGCCUGCUGAAAACCUGGCCUGUCUGUCCAUCCGCAGGACCUCCUCCCAGCUGGCUGAUGGGUCCUGGCUCAAACGCUGAGCCUUCCAAGCCACUUCACAUGAAGGCUUCUCCCUCGGUCUUGCCUAUCCGAGCUGCUGGCCUUUGAAAUGAGUUUGAGGGUUUAAGGCUCCUCCAGCUGGGGUGUCUACAAACCCAGGGAAGGGCCUCAGGUGCUUCCUCACAGGCCCUGAACUGACAGUACUGAUGCUGCUCACCUUUCAUCCAUGGUGCCCAAGAUCACCCAGGGUACUUUGCAGAAGUUGGACAUGUGCAAUGGAAGCUGGUCUUUUCCAAACAAGAUGACAAACAGCAGCUUGGAACAGUCGAGUGCCAAGCCUCUACUGGGUCACAGAAGGCAGCCUGAGGGCUGGAGAAACUGCGUUCCUGAUGCUCAUCACCAAGCUCCAUCCAGGGUGACCACAUGCGUCUACACUGUGCACGGCAGAUGGCCCUGCAGUCACUGCCAGGACGCCGCCCCGAGAAUGCAGGCUUCCCUACAGCCUGCUUCCAGUUCUGAGUCGGGGCUCACUCUGUAGCACAGGCUGACCUGGAACUCUUGGCAGCCCUCUCAAAUGCCAAGGCCACAGGUGUGAGUCAGCACACCCAGCUCACCUGUUUUGUUUUUUGUUUUGUUUUGUUUUUUUAAAUAACUCUAACUGCAUAAAGAAAUACAGCCUGCCAGGUCCUGUCUCCACACUGAACUGCAUACUGGAAGGUCUUGACAGGAGACGGACCAAACUGUACUUCAGGAUCUGGACUUCAAGAAGACAGAAAGAGCUUUAUGAGGGGCAGGUAGAAGAGGCCCCAGUGAAACGUGACAAUCAGCUGCCCUCUUGGUUAGAGAACCCAGUGAAACACCUUAGCCAGUGGCCAGGCAGCUCCUCAUUCUCUCUGCAGGGUCAAGACAGUCAGAGAGGUUGGUUCCCAUCAGGGGCUCUGACACAAGCACCUCCCAGGACAGCCCAGAGUCGCACCUGCGUGUCUCCAUCUUCUGCCAGGCCGUGCGCGAGGUGGGCACUGAACGUGCUCUUCCCAACGCCACCUUUCCCGGACAGCACCAAGAUCCUGUGUUUCACCGUCCUCAUCUUCUCCUUGAUUUCCUCCACGGCUGCAAAGAAGCAGGCGAGGCGAUGACCUCCCUGCCUUGGCUCUGCGUGUCCUUCUUCCCAGAGGGCUGGAAGGGUCACUCUCUAAGCUGUUUCUAACUCUCCUUGUGCGAUAUCACUUCAGCAAAAUAAUAAUAAAUGCUAGGAAGAAAAUGUGGCCACUGCCACCCCUGAAA